rnacentral:rRNA from 1 species
UACGUAGGGGGCGAGCGUUGUCCGGAUUCAUUGGGCGUAAAGAGCUCGUAGGCGGCUUGUCGCGUCGGAUGUGAAAGCCCGGGGCUUAACUCCGGGUCUGCAUUCGAUACGGGCAGGCUAGAGUUCGGUAGGGGAGAUCGGAAUUCCUGGUGUAGCGGUGAAAUGCGCAGAUAUCAGGAGGAACACCGGUGGCGAAGGCGGAUCUCUGGGCCGAUACUGACGCUGAGGAGCGAAAGCGUGGGGAGCGAACAGG